rnacentral:rRNA from 1 species
AAACCAACAGGGAUUGCCCUAGUAACGGCGAGUGAAGCGGCAACAGCUCAAAUUUGAAAGCUGGCCUUCGGGUCCGCAUUGUAAUUUGUAGAGGAUGCUUUGGGUGAAACGCCAGUCUAAGUUCCUUGGAACAGGACGUCAUAGAGGGUGAGAAUCCCGUAUGUGACUGGAAAUGUUAACCUAUGUAAAGCUCCUUCGACGAGUCGAGUUGUUUGGGAAUGCAGCUCUAAAUGGGAGGUAAAUUUCUUCUAAAGCUAAAUAUUGGCGAGAGACCGAUAGCGCACAAGUAGAGUGAUCGAAAGAUGAAAAGCACUUUGGAAAGAGAGUUAAAAAGCACGUGAAAUUGUUGAAAGGGAAGCGCUUGCAAUCAGACUUGUUUAAACUGUUCGGCCGGUCUUCUGACCGGUUUACUCAGUUUGGACAGGCCAGCAUCAGUUUCGGCGGCCGGAUAAAGGCUCUGGGAAUGUGGCCUUCACUUCGGUGAAGGUGUUAUAGCCCAGGGUGUAAUACGGCCAGCCGGGACUGAGGUCCGCGCUUCGGCUAGGAUGCUGGCGUAAUGGUUGUAAGCGACCCGUCUUG